rnacentral:lncRNA from 1 species
GAAAACCAGAUCCCACAGUGUUAUGCAAAGAGCCUUUCAAAGCAAAAGGAAAAACAAAAAAACAAACCAUUGAACAACAUCUGGUGGCUGCUACCCUGUGGAAUAUUUGGAAUGAAAGAAACAGAAGAACUUUUAAGGAAGAAGAAAGAACAACUGUUUCAGUAUGGGAAGACACUCAGGCUAUAACUGGUCUAUGGACAAGCCGCUCUUCUCUAUUCAAAAAUUACACGUCAAGUUCUAUUGCUUUAAAUUUACAUGCUUUCGUUUCGGGAUAAUCAGGCUGCUCUCUAGCCUUUCUUCUCCCCCGCUUCCUGUAAUCACAUUUUAUUAUAAUGAAGUGGGUUGUAGUUGAUGCAUUUAUAUGUCCCAUGGAGAUAUCCUUGCAUCAGCUAUCCCUUAGUAUCAUUUUAUAAAAAAAAAAACAUUUUGAAAAUAUGAUAUAGCAAUUAUAGCACAUUGUUUUAGAAUUUUGCAAAUAUGACAAAAUUUUCACUUCUCCAUCUUAAAUUUGUUAUUAUUCCUAAACUGUCAUUCAAUAACUUAUUUAUCUUUCUCUUUUUAAUAUCCUACUCAUUAUUUAUUUAUUCUUCCACUUUUUAAGGCCCUAAUUAUUUGUUUAUUCUUAUACUAGAAAAAUUAUUUAUUCUUCCUAUCUUAAUCUUAAUUUUAAAAUAUCAAUAGUACAAUACUUACAAUAUGAAAUAUAAUAUAAUGGUUGUUGAUUGGAGUAAUUUAAUUUCAUUUGUGAUUUUUCUUUUUUUCUUUUACUUUCUUCGUUGUGUAUUUUGAGUUAAAUCUGAUUCCAAAUGGUUUUGUUUUAUUUUUUUACAUUAACUUUUUUUGUUUAGUUUUCUAUAUCAGUGUUGUGAUAUACUUAUAUUAUAUGUAUUAGUUGGUUAAUAUAUUUACUACGUGAUUUUCAUUUUUUCAAAUUUUAUGCAGUUCAUUAGAGUAAUAUUAUGUAUAUGAAUGAUGUAACUCAGUGUAUUAUUAUCAAGUAUACCAACAAUAUAUUGUUAAAACAUUUAAGUAAAGUGAAUCAUUAUCAAGUAUGUGAAUCAAGUUUACAAGUGUAUAUCAAUAGUAUAUCAAGUGUAUAUGUAGGAGUUCAAACAUAUCAAGUGCAUUUAAUCAAUCAAUUGUAUAAGUGAAGAAUACUAAAUGUAUAUGCAGUGUAUCAGAUAUAUCAAAUAUAUAUUAGUAAUGUUUCAGGUGUGUAUCAAAAGGUAUCGAGUUUAUAAAAAAAUAUCAGGUGCAUCAAGUGUAUCAAUCAAAUGUAUUUGGUGUAUCAAGAAGUAUCAAUUGUAUCAAGAGAUAUAUUAGGUGUAUCAGAUGUGUAUAAGAUGUAUCAAAUAUAUAUUAGUAACGAUGGCAUUUGUGACAUUUUACCUCUUGAUGUGUAGGUUGGGCUUCGUUUGUGUCAUUUUCGCAAAUAAUAAAGUCUGUGUGAUAUGGACUUAAAUUAUUAUAACUUAUUUUGUCAUUUUUGCAAGUACCACUAAAAAAGAGUUGGAGAGAGUUUGAAAUUUGUGAGAAUGAAAAGAAUAAGAAGAUCAGUUUGAGGGUCAACAACAUUUUCAAGUGGCGGGAUGAGCGACAAUGAAGCGAUGGCCCUUUCUUUCUCGAUUUCUCUUUUACCAUUUUGCGUUCUCCCUUCUUAGAUCUAGAAAUUACAAACCUGAGGAGGGUUUUCAAAGAGUAACUCCCGAAGCACCCCGAUAAGUGUUGGGAGUUACCUAUUUCUCACAACAACUUACUAUGCAUGUUGGGAGUUACUUGUAUCUCUCGACCCCUAAACCGUAAUUGUCGCAACAAAAAUAGUUACAAAUAUAGCAAAAUAUCACAAUUUAUUUGUAAUAUUUUAAAUACGACAAAAUCAUGAUAGACACUAUUUAUAUCUAUCAUGACAUAGAUAGACCUGAAUAGACAAACUUUCAUUGUCUCUCUUCAAUAAAUUGCGAUAGACUACUGUAUGUGUCUAUCACAGUUUAUUGCAAAUAGACAAUGAAAUAUUACUAUAUUUAUAAAGAGUUUUGUUUAUUUUACUAUAUUUGAAAACUACAAAAAAAAAAAAUAUUCUAAUUUAGUUUUAAAAAGUCUACUUGUGUUAAAAUAUAAUUGUUGUGACAUAUACUUUAGAAAACAUUUCAAAUUUAAUCCUUAAGUUUGUUCUUAGUUUAACUUAUUCUUAUAUUUUCGAAAACAUUACUAUAUCUUAUUAAUUACUCAUUUCCCUCUAAAUUAUUUUGGGAACAUAUUCUCAUAGUAUAUGUUUCUAUUAUGUAAUCGAUUUUGGGUUUAAAAAACAAAAACCCUUCAAAUAACUAGAUUUAAAAUCCACUAAAAGGAUUAAGACUAAAAUUAUACCUUUGAAAUUAUAUAGACUAAAACUUAACAAGUAUAUUGAAGUAUAAAGGAUUAAAAUGGUAAUUCAACCUCAUUUUUUUGUCUCUAAAAAUGUUCUCUCCAUUUUUUAUGGCAUUUUAUUGAUUGCAAAGUUUCUUUCUUCUAGGAAAUAUUGAUAUAAAGUUAACUGCCGUGGUCGUCUAUUGUCGCAUAAUCUUUUUUCAUUGUCAUCCCAACCACACCUUCCUGAUAUCAAUAAUAAAUUAGGCAUCGUGACUUCAACUUGGAGUUAAAAAUUGAGGACUUGUUUGAUGAUUAGGAACUCCAUCCCAUCAAUCUCUACUUUAAUAUUUUUAGUAGGAGUAACUUAAAAUGGAUCCCUACUCUUUAGAAGUCUUUUGUUAACCUCAAAUUCAGAGAAAAAAAAAUGGGUCGAAAAUAUGUUCUCUACUCGGAAGAGUUUCUUCUUCCACAUUAAAAACGAGUAGACAGUGGAGAGAAAGUACAAGAGCUCUCUAAGGGACUCUCUAAAUCGCUAAAGCGGUAGCCAAGUAUGUUAGACGUCUAUACAUGUAAAUUAAAAAUAGAGCGAUAUAUGGGUGAUUUAAUAAUUUAUCAUAUUGAAUUAUUUUAUUAGAUUGAGCCAAUUAUGUGAUCUGUUUAAUUAAGGUUCUAAAUUUAUAAUUGAGUAUAGACUAAAUGAAUAGAGGUCUAUUUCUAGAUUGAUUAGGAUUUAAUAAAAACCGUAAUUAAAUUAGUACAUAAAGAGACUUAGAGUUAUGAUCCACAAUAUACUAAAACAAUAAGCAUUCAACCUUUCGAAUCUUAUCUAGAGAAAGGUCCCACUCAGAAAAUUCAAAGUUUCAUUGAGGAAGACAAACCCUAUAGAUUUUCAAUAGAAUGUAAUAUGUUCGUUGAGGAAGACAAACCCUAUAGACUCUCAAUAGAAUGUAAUAUGUUGUUCUUGACAAUUUGACAUGAACAAUCUACAAAGGAAACUCAAAAACACUCUAAAAUACACUAGGAUAGUUUUCAGAAACUAUUACUCCAAUUUUUAUGACUUAUUUUUAAAAUUAUAUAAUUAAAAAAUUAAACCAAACCCAUACUAUAUCGUCGGCUAAAAGCAUUUUGACGAUUGGAAGAAUGUUAGGCUUUAAGCUCUAUUGAAAGAUAAAAAUAAUGUGAUGCAAAGGUAUAUGAAAAUAGAGGCCCCUCCUAAUUAUAUGAUGAAUCCCACAACUCUUUGAAGGCACACCACAUAAAAAGUAGUGAUGUCUACAAAAUAAUCUCCAAUCAUGGACAAUGUGACAACACCAUCCAUUGUUUAGUUUAUUUUUUUCCUUUUCUUUUUAAUGACUUAUUUGAAGGGUUCGCCCGACAUUUUCUUAGUCAAUGGUACAAGGCCUAGGUUGUCAUUUCAAUAACUGUUCUCUACACAUCUUGACAUUCCCAAUCUUAAAAAAACAACAGUAUUCAAGAUUAUUUUACAGUUUCUUCUGUCCUUUUUCUCUGAUAAAAUCUUUCUUUAUUUAAACAAAAUGCUUUUCUUGUUCAGUUAAUGUUCUUUUGUUGAAAUAAUUUGAUCCAGACACGUGAAAAAUUCUAGAUGAAAAAAACAUAAUAAUAGUAGUAAUAACAGUAGUAGUGUUGAACAAUUGAUUGUAUCGAGGUAGAAAAGGCCACUACCUUAAAGGCAAUUUUAAAACGAUUUCUAUACUAGCCGUCUCAACACACCAAUCUUGGCAGAUGAGCACUUGUAAAACAAAAUUUUAAAAAUCAUUUUCUUUUUUUUAGAAAAGAAGAAACCUGUGUGUUUCAAAUCGAUUUUUUUUUUAUAUUAAAACAAUUUUUUUUAUAAAUUUGGAACAUUGCGGUCGAACUGUCACAUUCUGUUUUUGUAAAUGGUCUCAAUAUGUUUCCUAAUAGCUUCAAGAAUAAAAGGAAGCGAUAUUAAAAAUUAAUUCCUUCCAUCCAUGGUUUGAUACAAUCAUAAUUAAGGCUUAGUUUGAGAGUAUUAUAGAUUUCAAAAUAAGUGUUUGCAACCAUGCUUUUAGAAAAAUCAACUGUACUUUAAGUCAAAGGGUUGAAACUAUUCUUUUAGAAAAAUCAACCAUACUUGGUAAAUUUUCAGUAUGUGUUGGAGGGCGGGUCUUAAUCUUCUUUGAGCGUGAUUUUGAUCAUUGAAUAUGGGUGAGAUUUUGGGUUUGAUGGGCUUGUCUCAUAGAGUGGUUUGUAGGGGUUGAGCUAUAGUGGUUUUGUUUUGUUUCGUUCGGUUGGGUUGAGUAAGGAUGUCAAGUAAAAGCUUUGACGUACUUUGUGAUUUGAUGCUAUUUAUUUUAUGUGGCAGGAGUGUAACUAUCUGGUUGCAUGGGGGCACUGUCCUAUGAUGCUUAUGUGAUUGUGCUGCUUUUUGUUGCUACGGUUCGUGUUCGUGCUACUUUCUAACUUGAGGAUAUUGUUUAUCUGCUUUAUCAGGUUUUGAUUUUGGUUUUUUUUUUGCCUUUAAUCACUUUUUGUCUUUGCUUGUGUUUGUUUGUGUUCUUUUUUUCUUGACUUGUUCAAUGUGAUUGUUUUAUAAAACUCUAAUUGACAAAGGUAAAUUUGUAUUGCUUGACUCUUCUCAUUGUUAUGUAAUAGUAUUUAUACAAGUUAAUAUGGUAAAAUAUAAUAAAAUCAAUUUACAAUUACAGGUAUAAUAAAAGGGAGAAUAUCGCGGAGAGAUUUGUGGAUCUGAAUUAUCUUCUAAUAACCUCCCUCAAACGAAUGACUCAGGUUGAGUUUAGUAGUUUGUCUCGAAGGUGAAGAAAUUUUGGAGACCAAGAGUGCCUUUGUGAGUAUAGUAGCCAGUUGUUUGUUGGAAGAGAUGUAACGAACGAAAAUGUCUUUAUGAAGAAUUUUUUUUUCGAACAAAGUGGUAAUCGAUUUUAAUGUAUUUUGUUCGAGCAUGAAAGAUAGAAUUAUGAGCCAGAGAUAUAGCUGAAACAUUAUCACACCAUAAUGUUAGUGAGGUCUUAAGAGGAACACGAAGAUCACAGAGAAGUUGUCAGAUCCAGUAAAUUAGAUCGACAGUAGUAGUGACAAGUGACCGAUAUUCUUCUUCUGUGGAAGAAUAUGAGAUUGUAGGUUGCUUUUUAGAUGACCAAGAGUGUCUUCCCAGGCCCAGGAUUUGAAAUUCGGAUCUCCGACAUUCUCUUACAUCCCCUACGACCUGACAACGUCAUCUUUACUAUUCUUUAAGGCUUAUUAGAGGGAAACUUCUUUCCAAACAAACCAACACACGAGUCCUUUCAGCAUACUUUGUCCUCACUCACGUGUUUCCUAGGAAUAUUCCCAAGUGGUCAUCCAACAUAGAAUUGCUCCAAGCUAAGCACGCUUAAAUUUGGAGUUCCUACGAUCAAGCCACCGAAAAGGAAGGUGCACCUUGUUAGUAUAGGUAUUAACUUUUAAUUCUUUUAAUUCUUUCAUAACUUUAAUUUCAUGUCCUUAGGAUCCCUCUCAUUCAGAUGUGCUAUCGAUUCAUUCAUGUCUCCCUCAUAAACUUGGGUGUUACAUGUCUACCAGCUUCUGCUUGGUUCGUCUAUGAACCACAUCUUACUCGAAGAGCUUCUGCUUGGUUUGUCUCUGAACCACAUCUUACUCAAAAAGGUUCCGCUCUUAUACCAUCUGUAAUGCCACAAGCCCAGGAUUCAGAUUAGGAUUUGAAAUUCAGAUCAGGAUUUGAAAUUCAGAUCUUCUACAUUUCCCUACAUCUUCUACGACCUGGCGACAUCAUCCUUAGUAUCUUUAAAGACUUAUUAGAGUGAAAGUUUUUCCCACAAAUCAACACAAGUCCUUUCAGCUUACUUUGUUCUCACUCACAUGUAUCCUAGAAAAAUUCUCAGGAGGACACCUAAUAUAGAAUUGCUCCAAGCUAAGCAUGCUUAACUUUGGAGUUCCUAUGAUUAAGCCAUCGUAAAGGAAGGGGCAUCUUGUUAGUAUAGGUAUUCACUUUUAAUUCUUUUAAGUCUUUCUUUCAUGUCCUCAUAAUCCCUUAAUUCAGAUGUCAUAUCGGUUCAUUCAUGUCUCCCUCCUAAUCUCAGGUGUUACAUGCCACCAGCUUCGACUUGGUUCAUCCUCGAACCACAUCUUACUUGGAGAGGUUCCACUCUAAUACCAUUUGUAACGCCCAAGACCCAAGAUUUAGAAUUUGGAUCCUCGACAUUUUCCUACAUCCUCUGUGACCUGACAACAUCAUCCUUACCAUCCUUAAAGGUUUAUUAGAGUAAAAUUUCUACCCACAAACCAGCACGAGUCCUUUCAGCAUACUUUGUCGUCACUCACAUGCAUCCUAGGAAACUUUCCAAGAGGUCACUUUACUAUAGAAUUGCUUCAAGCUAAGUGCGCUUAACUUUGGAGUUCUUAUGAUUAAGCCACCGAAAAGGAAGGUACACCUUGUUGGUAUAAGUAUUAACUUUUUAAUUCUUUUUAAGUCUUUCUUAACAUUACUUUGAUGUCCUCAAGAUUCCUCUCAUUCAGAUGUGAUAUCGGAUCAUUCAUGUCUCCCUUUUAAUUUGGGAAGUUAUAAAUGGUAUCAGAGCGGAACCUGUCUCAAUAAGAUGUGGUACGGGGACGAACCAAGUGGAAGUUGGUGGACAUGUAACGCCCGAGAUUAGGAGAGAGACAUGAAUGAACCGGUAUCACAUCUGAAUGAGAGAGAUCCUAGGGACAUGAAAGUAAUGUUAAGAAAGAUUUAAAAGAACUAAAAGUUAAUACAUAUACUAACAAGGUGCACCUUUCUUUUUGAUGGCUUGAUCAUAAAAACUCAAAAGUUAAGCGUGCUUAGCUAGGAGUAAUUCUAUGUUGGAUGACCACCUGGUAAUUUUUUUAGGAUACAUAUGAGUGAGGACAAAGCAUGCUGAAAGGACUCGUGUUGGUUUGUGAGGAGAAGUUUCACUCUAAUAAGCCUUAAAGAAUAGUAAGGAUGAGGUUGCGAGGUUGCUUGGGAUGUAGGAGAAUGUCGGAGAUCUAAAUUCCAAAUUCUAGUUUGAAUCCUAGGCCUAGGGCGUUACAAAGAGAUUAGAUUAGAACCGAGUAAAGCAAUGAAUUCAGAGGUUGAACGUCGAUUAGAAGUAUCACUGGCCUAAACAGAGUCAUAAAAGGUCUGUAGAAAGAAUGACGUUUGUGGAAAUUUAUUCUAAGGGUUGGAGUACCACAUAGAUAUUUAAGGAUGCGCGUGUUUGACUGCCAAGAAGUGAAUUAUAGUUGGUUUAUGCAUGAAUUGACUGACACGAUAAUAUACCGAGAAUGCAACAUCAGGAUGAGUAAAGGUAAGGUAUUGCAAGGAACCAACUAGUCUGCUAUAUAAGGAUAGAUCAAUAAAUGAUGGUGCAAUGGUGUAAAGAUCAAGAGAAGUAGACAUUGGCGUGACAGGAGGUUUUUCAAAGGUCAUUCCCGAUGUAUGAAGAAGGUCAUUGAGAUAUUUGACUUGGUUAAUGAAAAUUCCAUUACUGGAGGAAUGUAUUUCAAGACCAAGAAAGUACUUUAAACGACCAAGAUCAAAUAUUUUUAAUUCAAAAGGGCCAAUUGGUUUUUUAGAAGAGAUAUAUAUGAAGAAUGAGGACCAAUGAUAAUGAUGUCAUCUACAUACAAAAGUAAGUAAAGUGUGAGAAGAUUUGACUAAUGAAAUGAAUAAUGAGGUAUCAACCGCAAAAGCAACAAAACCCAUAGUAAAUAAAUACUUAAGAUGUAAAGUGUUCAAACCAAGCGCGAGGGGCUUGUUUGAGGCCAUAAAGUCUUUUGUAGAGAAGACUCACAUGAUUUGGAUAUGUGUUAUCCUGAAAGCUAGAAGCAUGUAAACUGUUUCUUGGAGAAUAUCAUGUAGAAAUGCAUUUUUAAAAUCUAAGUGGGUCAAGGACUAACUGUAUUGAGCAGCAAGAGCAAGAAUAAUUCGUAUGGUGGGUUUCUUGACUACAAGACAAAAAGUUUAUUUAAAAUAAAAAAAUUAUACCUGAUGAUAACCUUUAGCAACUAGUCGCGCUUCACAACGAGCAAUAAAGCCAUUAAGAUUAUAUUUUAUGUGGAAAACCCAUUUAGAACGAACAUCAUUCAUAGAUGGAAGUCGAGGUACUAAGGACUAAGUACCCUGUGCUAGGAAAGUAUUGAUUCCUCACACAUUGCAGUUCGCCAUUCAAGAUACUUGAAGGCUUCAGUGUAUGAUGUGGGAGUCAGGAGAGCAGUUAUGAUAUGGAAUGCCUUUGGGUUUAAAAAUACUUUAUUUUGAUUGAGUUUUCAUAGCAUGAGUGUUGGUUGCAGCAACAUCUAUCUCAUUUCCUAUAUCGACUGUAGAUAAAACAUGUAAAGACUGACAAGUGGUAACAUCUAGUGUGAACAAGGAUUUUUUCACUUUCUAAAGAGACAAAUGCAACAACAAGCUUGUCAACGAGGGCUUUAAUGCGAGAGGUAUAUUGUUCAAUGGUUUCAGAAGGGUUUUUUUUUUAUGGAAUGAAGUGCAGAUCAUAAGUUAAGGAUGUUGGAUAUGGUAUUGGAGGAGUAUCUCGUUUUUCUAGAGAAAGCCACAAAUCUUUGGAGGAGACUAAGCCGACAACAUGGACAAGGGAAGAGGAUGACAAAGUAGCGUUUAUUAAAGAAAUGAGAGCUUGGUCACAAGAAAGCCCUUAGAGAUAAUUAGGAUUGAUUCCACAAGUGGUUCCAGCAGUUGGUGAUGGUAGAUGUUUUGGAGGAUAGGGAAGAUAAUCAUCAAUAUGACAAAAAGGGAAUGAGCUUUGAGUAUGAAGGAGACUUGAUACUCCUAGAGUAUAUAAUUACUAGUGUCGAAACGAAUAGGCACGAGAUUGCAAAUAAUGUUGGACAACAAGAAGAGAGUGGAGGUGGGAAGAGAUGGGUUUCCUUAAGGUAAGCAUUAGUGUGGAAAUGGAACAAGAUUAGGAACGGGAUGUGGCCAUUUGAAGAAGUAAGGUAUGUAAACAAAAUUAAUUUGAAGAUUCCUAUGAUACCAUUUAAAACUCUAAUUGACAAACGUAAUUUGUAUUUCUCAUUGAUAUGUAUGAUAGAACUAAGUCAUGCACAGCGGAAAAAGAAUCGAAUUUCUACCCUAAUUGCCACAAUUAACAUGUAACCAUAAACUAAUUAAAUUAGGGUUUUAGGAAAUAUUACCUUUGAAGCUUUCAAAAGGUUUGAUAUCUUCUUACCAAUUCUAACCGAGACCACCACUAGUACUCAACUGCUAUCCUCUAGACAAAGAACCGGGUUGUGGGACCCAAUUUUGGUGUAGAAAGUAAUGGAGAUAAAAUGAGAUUGGAAGGUUUUUUUUUUUUUUCUUUUGUUGAGAUGAUGAAAAUGAUAAAAGAGGCAAAAGUUCUUCAACAUUUGAAAACACCUCUAUUUAUAGCCUAAUUACAUGCAAAAAUGCAUGCAAUUCAUUUGCCAAAUCUCAACACCUAAUGUUCCACUAACAAUUAGUGGAACUUAGUGGGCUAGGUGUCUAUAUCUCAUAUAGCCACAUAUCCCACUAAGAGUUAGUGGGAUU